rnacentral:lncRNA from 1 species
AUGGGUUCUAGAGAAAUCCCUAUCCUGUGGCUGGCCAAGGGAAUGGUCAGGUGGAUGCUCCAUCCAUCGGGACCUUCUCUUGCCUUCAGGUCUUCCUCAAACCUUCCCCAGAAGGGCAGGCCCUUCAUCCAAGGCACUAUGGAUGGCCAUUACAGGUAUGACGGCUUCAUAAACGUAUAUCCUGUGGGAGGCACGGAGAGCAGCAUUUCCUGCCAAACCUUUAGUCUCUGUAGUGCAGAGGCUGCAUUUUCUACGGAAAGAGGAAGUUAUCCGGGCCAGCACUUCACUGUGGAUGUUACUGAACAAAGAUGUGAAAGAAACGCGCGGAUGACGGCCGGCCCCGUGGGCUGUGGAGGAGAUCCUCGGCAGAGGUGUUGUAAGAAGAUAAUUCAGUUAUCAUUUCAUUCAUUCUACCAACCCUUCUCAGAAGUUGAGAGACUCCACUGAGAUAAUGAAGAGGGGAAAUGGCAUCGACAGCCAGUGGAGAGACCCUCAGAAACGCUAAGGCAAUGAUCUGGAUUGACCACAGGUUUCUGGCCCCAAAACUCCCAUGAUUACUUUACUGAUUUAUUCCCCUGGCAGGGAGGAGACCAUAGGAACUUGAAGCAUGCCAGCAGGACACAAGCUCUGACAGGCCCUACCAGAAUGGAAAAGUUUGGAGCGUGGGUUCAAGGACUAACUGUAGAUCUGUCAUCUCCCGGUCAAGUGACGGGCUCAUCCCUAGUUUGGUUGGUUGGAUUAAUUUCUAGGGACUUUUAUGUGAUUUUUCUAUUCUCCAGUGCCAAUGGUGUAUCUUUGGCCAGUUAUCCAGAAGGCCUUCUCAUGGGAUUCCAGAGAUCAUCAGGAGAAAACUGGGUUUUCUGUUCUAGGCAUCACUUUUUAGGAAGGACAUUGAUGAGUUGGAGAAUGCCCAGAAAGGGGCAGCCAGGGUGGUAAAAGACCUCAUCUUCAUUCCAUAUGAGGAUCUGCAGGAAGAAUGAGGCAGAUUUAACUGGAGAAGAGAAGACUCAGCAGGGCUAAAGGUCUUUAAAUUUGUAGAAGGCUCUUUGAUUCCAGAAGGGAUGACCAGGAAUAAUGGGAAGUUAUAAAGAACCCAAUUUCAGUGUGAUGUCUGGAAGAGCUUCUUAACAAUCCAAUAAAGAAAAGGAUUGCCUCA